rnacentral:rRNA from 1 species
CGGCGGACGGGUGAGUAAUGCCUAGGAAUCUGCCUGGUAGUGGGGGACAACGUUUCGAAAGGAACGCUAAUACCGCAUACGUCCUACGGGAGAAAGCAGGGGACCUUCGGGCCUUGCGCUAUCAGAUGAGCCUAGGUCGGAUUAGCUAGUUGGUGAGGUAAUGGCUCACCAAGGCGACGAUCCGUAACUGGUCUGAGAGGAUGAUCAGUCACACUGGAACUGAGACACGGUCCAGACUCCUCGGGAGGCAGCAGCG